AAAAAAAAAAAAAAAAAAAAGAAGUUCUUGAGUUUCUCAUCCAUCCCCCUGCCUCCAGGCUCAUUUUAUGCAGUGCUGACGGGUGAGCCCAGUAGUUCACACAACUUAAGCAACUGCUCUCCCAGCUGACUCCCAGUAGUACUUUAAAGUUAGCAGAGGAAUGGUUUCCAGCAGGCCCCGGUAACACAAGCACUUAUUUCCAGCAUUCAAGACACUGAGUUUGAGGCCAGCCUGGACUAUAAAACAGACGAAACAAAACUUUAAACUAAAGGGCUUUCAUAUAAAGGUUUCUUUUAUUGACCCCCUGGGAACAAAUAAAACCUUCAUUUAAAAAAAUGGUUUUUUGUUUUGUUUUGUUUUGUUUUAAACCAUAUUAUUUAUUACUCCAGUGUGUCUUCCUGCCUGUGUAAGGGCAUGCAUGCUUCAGCAUGUGGGUGGAGGUCAGAGGACAACUCGUAGACCGACUUCACUUUCCACCUUUACAUGCCUUUUGGAGAUGGAGAGGUGGCCGGGCUGGCACAGCGAGUACCCCUUAUCCACUGAGUCACCUCACUGGCCAUGAGUUGUUCCUUAUAAAAGACAUUUUUGUGCAGAGCUAUGGUAACAUUGUCUAGGCUCAGAAAUGAUUAGGACUCUUAAUUUGAAGCACUGGUAGCACUUGGAAACUCAGAGGAGUUUGUCUUCCCCUUCUUUCCCUCAGUCAUCAGCUGUUACCAAAGGUUGUGACAAAAAUUGGCAAGUGUGGUUCUGCAGACACUCUUCUUGAUUUGAGAGUUGCCAUAUGCUCUCCCUUUUACAAGUUAUAUUUAUUUUUAAGUAUCGUUUGCCGCUAUUUAACAAUAUUAAGGGGAAUCUGUACUAAAUACCAGAUUGCUGCUGGCAAGUUGAAACUCUGCUACCCAAAUCUUAAAUCUCCAUUUACUCGGAUGAGAGGACAACCCAGGUUCUUGUGUACAAGACAUUACUUAGGCUCAUGGGCUUUCAGAUUAGAAUUUGCUCUUUCAAGCAUCUGCUUCCACCGGCUUGGUUCCCCAGUGACACUGUAACAUAGCUUCCAUCCAGGUACUUGCGCAGAUUGCAGUAGAAUUUGAGGAAGGAGUACCUGAGAUGCUUCACGGAGGGGAGAUGGUGCUGAAGCCCCCUCUGAGCAGGAGAAGGCUGGGAAGGGAUGCUGGCUAAAGGAGACAGUGAAGCAGAGGCCCUAGGCAACUCAGGCAUGGUGGCACUUCCAGAAAGGAAGGUAGGUUGUUUUUUGUUGAAGUAUAAGCAUUAGUGGGGAAGGAUGUUAGGAAAUGAAGCCAGACUGGUAUCCAUGGGCCAGGUGGUGGAGAACCUUGCAUGUCUUCCAUUUGGCAGAUACUUAUUGGAUAGCUUGUGAACCAGGUACUGCUGUAGACACAUAAUGGUCAUAAUGGGAAGAGAUAGAUGAUUAUUAAUAAUAUCCUAUGAGUGCAUAUAAGCUACAGUAUAAUGACCAGUGGUAAGAGGAAGUUUUGAGGUCAAUAAAAAUGGGACCAUUUUAGGGGACCAGGAAAGGUUGGUUGAAGAACCAGUAGGGUGAAUGACCUCCAGUGUUCAGGCCUGAAGCGAUAUGCAAGUGACCUGAGGUUUGAGCUGGAGAGACAGACAGCUCAGUGGUUAAGUGUUCAACAUAUAUUGCUCUUGCAAAGUCUCUGGAGGUGUUCAGGUCUCAGCAACCAUGUUAGGUCACAUCCAAGUGCAUUUGAUGUGUCUAUCCUCCAUGGGUACCUGCAUUCAUGUGCACAUGCACAUACACAUACAUUCACACACACACACAUGUGUACUCAUACAUACACAUGCAUAAUUUUUAAAAACUUGUAAAAGCCCUAAAGUUAGACUGGCUCUUGCCUGUUUAAGGAAAUCUUAAGAGUUAAGUGUGUCUGAGUAUCACGGAGGGAGAGUGUUGUGUCCGGCCAGCAGACCACAACCUGGGUUCUAGCCUGGAAAGGCAUUUUGGAAACCUGGAAGAGAAGAGGGGCUAGGUGGCGAGAGAAAGGAAUGUAGCCAAGACAGUUACUCUGAUCAAGGCUCAAAUUUUAUUGUUGUGACACUAGUUAUGAAGGAAGGGGGAGGGGACCCGAUUCCCGCCGAAUAAUCUCUGGUCCAUUAGAAAGGUGCACGUGUGUGGCUCCGCAGGUUCCAGCAGUGGGCGUGGCAGAACGAAUGAGCAGGAAGCUCCACCCCUGAGCAAGCAGGUUUCAGGCUGGGGGAGGGGAGACUACAGGAGAGGAUUAGAAUAUAGAGUCUAGAAAACUAAGUAAGGAUUCGGAGGUGAAGUGGGGAAUGACUGGAGAGUUUGGGGUGGAGGGAAGGAUAAUCUAUUGUGUGGUUUUGAAAGGAUGCAUUGUAGUGGACAGAAAGCCAAGAAACCAGUGAGGGAGUUAUUGCAGUAAUGGUGGUAAGAAGUGGCAGCUUGGACCAGGGUGGCUGCAGUGUGUGGGAGCUUACUGAGAAAAGGAAGUGUUUGCCAUCUAUGAUAAGCAUCCAUUGGAAGAUUCUGAUCCAUAGGACUGGGGAGAUAGCUCAGUGGUUAUUAGCAGUGGCUGCUCUUCCGGAGGACCUGGGGUUGAUUCCCAGCAGCUGCAUGUCAUUUCACAACUGUGUAACUCCAGUUCCAGGGAAUCCAGCACCCACUUUUGGCCUCUAAAGGCACCAGGCAUGCACAUAGCAUGUAGAUAUACUUGUAGAUAGAUAAGUGCUGAUACACAAAAAUAAAAGUUAAAUAAACCUUUUUAAAAGUCUGAUCCAUGGGAUGACAGAAUUUGUGUGUU
rnacentral:lncRNA from 1 species